rnacentral:rRNA from 1 species
GAACCGUCCGAACGUUAUUCGGAAUUAUUGGGCUUAAAGGGUGCGUAGGCGGUGCGGCAAGUUGGGUGUGAAAGCUCUCGGCUCAACCGAGGAACUACGCCCAAAACUGCCGUACUCGAGGGAGACAGAGGUGAGUGGAACUUCGGGUGGAGCGGUGAAAUGCGUUGAUAUCCGAAGGAACACCGGUGGCGAAAGCGACUCACUGGGUCUCUUCUGACGCUGAGGCACGAAAGCUAGGGGAGCGAACGGGAUUAGAUACCCCGGGUAGUCCUAGCUGUAAACGAUGAGCACUGGGUCGGAGGGUCCCUCCAUAGCCCUUCCGGCCGUAGCGAAAGUGUUAAGUGCUCCGCCUGGGGAGUAUGGUCGCAAGGCUG